UAUUAUUAUUAUGAUUUCAUGCGGUCUUUCUGAAUUGCAAAUUUUCACCUAUCACUGUACCUCAUGUAUGUCACCUGCAUCCAUUGCACCCUUGGGGUUAGUAACGUGUAUCUGCUACGCCACUAGGGGGUAGCAGGCUGCCUUUGUCAUUCCAGAAAUCCAAGAGAAGAAGAACAUCCCCAGGUGCUGGCUAACCAAGUUUGAAACUCCCAAGUUGUUUGGAUGACUGAUGAUUCCAAGAAUUACAUGGAUUCUACUACUCAAGAAUUCCUUUGGAAACAAGGCUGCAUCACUUCCUGUGCCGACAGCGAGUAUGACGCGAGGCAUGCGCUGCAGCCACGUGCCCAAUUUCAUCCAUCUUGGUUUCGCGCAACGACGGAAACGUGGAUGCCGCCUGCCUUCUGAUUGCGGGGCUGCUCGGCACUGGAGCGAGACAAGGAAGCGGGCGCGCAGGGGAAGCGCUUGUCACGAUGUGAUGGCAUGCCUCAAAAGUGUUGCGAGGGGGUGCGCCGACGGCCGUCCUGGCAGGAGGUUCAAAGCUGGGCCAGGCUCGUCUUAGCCCGCUCCUCUGUUGCCGCCACAGAUCGGCGCACCCCCUUACCGCAACGACACCCCCGCCCCCCCCCCCGAAAAAUGUUGGACUAAUACAGAACUGUUCAGGAUCUCAGGCAGGGAUCUAAAGCUGACUUUCCAACUUGUUUUAAGACUCAUGUCUGCAUACAGAAGACGAUGACAAGAUAACCUUCCUUGGCAGAGGUAAUUAAUCAGGAGUCACUUGAGAUAAUCGCUCCU